rnacentral:rRNA from 1 species
AUGAGCGCUGGCGGCGUGCCUAAUACCUGCAAGUCGCGCGCACGGACGAGAAGCUUGCUUCUCUGAUGUUAGCGGCGGACGGGUGAGUAACACGUGGAUAACCUACCUAUAAGACUGGGAUAACUUCGGGAAACCGGAGCUAAUACCGGAUAAUAUUUUGAACCGCAUGGUUCAAAAGUGAAAGACGGUCUUGCUGUCACUUAUAGAUGGAUCCGCGCUGCAUUAGCUAGUUGGUAAGGUAACGGCUUACCAAGGCAACGAUGCAUAGCCGACCUGAGAGGGUGAUCGGCCACACUGGAACUGAGACACGGUCCAGACUCCUACGGGAGGCAGCAGUAGGGAAUCUUCCGCAAUGGGCGAAAGCCUGACGGAGCAACGCCGCGUGAGUGAUGAAGGUCUUCGGAUCGUAAAACUCUGUUAUUAGGGAAGAACAUAUGUGUAAGUAACUGUGCACAUCUUGACGGUACCUAAUCAGAAAGCCACGGCUAACUACGUG